UUCAAAAUAUCUAUUUUUCCUCUCAUCCUCACCACACAAUCAAAUUUUCUGAUCACACUCUCUCUCCACGUGGGCCCCACCCACACCCAAUCAGAUUUACUCUCUCUCUCUCACAUUCUCUCUCUCACUCACGCUCUCCCUCUUCCACUAUCGACAUCUCUCUCUCACUUUCUCCUUCUUCUUCUUUGCAACAAACACCAUCACCAUACUUCUUCUUCCCUCCUUGGCCAAGCAGCCGCCACCCAUGGCCAACCACCGCCACCACCGCGCUCUCCUCACGCGAGCCAGAGCACCACCACCUUCUCCCUCACGAACCAGCCCAAUCAAGCCAUCAUCUUCCUCUUUUCCUUACCUCUGGUUCAGAUACGACCACACCACCAACGUCCAGCACCACCGCGAGCACCACCACCACCAGGAUCGACCAAAAACGGCGCCAAACAGAGGAGCUUGAAACCCUAACUUCAGCCACCUUCAAGCUUCUAUCUCCGGCGAACCCCUUAGCUUUUGGAGAAAUGAAUACCACCACUGAACUCCCCUCAUCAUCAGCUUCAAAACCCCUAAAGAAAUUUCUGAUUCUGACCAUCUCCGCCGGAAACCGCCGCCAGCCGCCGUCAACCACCGUCUUCUCCGGCCAACCUUCGCCGGAGAAGGAACUGAACUCAGAAAUAAGGAGCUCUCCUCCUCCUCUUGCUGAAUUGAUUAUCAAUUUUGGUUUUGUGUUAUUGCUGUCAGCCUUGAUGAUCACGCUUGGAGAGGGCAGCCAUGACCAGCCAAGGAGAACCCUACCACUGCCUUCAACUUUGAUAGGGUUGGCAUUCUUAUCUAGAUCAAUUAAUUCUAGGGUCUUUAUGCUCCUCUAAGUCAUAUAUCAUUGUCAAUUUUGCUGUCCAUGUACCUUGUAAAAUUAAUGAAAGAAUAUAGAAUAGUGUGUGUGUGUGUGGUGUGAGUGAUAGUGUUAUAGUUGUUGAUUUCUGAGGGCAUGCGGGUUCAGCCCUUACUGUGCUUGAAAAGCUUUUGCGAAAACUCACAUAAAACUGUUGUUAUUUUCAAAAGUUGUAGCUGCUGUUCUGUUAAAAUCGUAUGUUUCGGUUAAGAUA